CCCCUUCCCCCGUCCUCCCGCAUUCCAGCCUCCACCUCGCCGCCGCCACCAACACCAGGCGAUUCCGGCGAGUUCCGGCGGCCCUUGCCGGAGCGCAGCACACUCACGAGCUCCCCUCGUGACGGUGCUUCCUUUCCUCCGGCUAGAUCUGCUCCUCACGGCCGCAAGCGCUCGCGCGCGACCCAUCCCCGCUGCUAGGGCUUCGGCUGCCCCCAACUCUGGUGAGCAGCCACCCUCCUCCAUGGACGAGGACGACCACCACGGCCGCACAUGGUCGAGCUCACCGUCGUUUCCUCCGGUGCGGUGAUGGGCCAACGAGCUCCGCCUCCACGGCUCCUAGCUCGGCUUCUGUUCUCCAUGGACGAAUCUCAACUGGAAACAGCAAGCCAUCUCAAGGGAGGGGAUUCUCAAGUCACCCCACUUCCAAUCCAUGGAUGCUAUCCACAAGGACCAAGAUGAUGACGACCAGGAUGGAAGGAGCCCACGCCCGACCCCGACGACGGCGGUUUCAUUUGUGUGCCGGCGUCGACCACAACCUCCCUCUCUGUAAUAUGGCUGAAACAUGGCACAAUCCGCCGGGCACAAUCCGCCGCUGCACCCAACGACCACCAUCGUCUGUUCAAGUACCCGUACCAUGGCGAGGCAUGGGCUGCUCAGUCGUGCAACUCACUCACAGCCGGGCGAUGGCUUACUCCAACGAUUUCUUGUGGGAGGCCGCCGGCGUUCGAGCUCCAACAACCAGCAUGUUCCAACUGAGGUUCGUUUACAUCUGUCUUACCAGCUCUCUCCUUUGGGCGUGCUCAUCUGUGGUUUAGGGUUGCAAGUGCCAAUGCCUCGUUAUAUUAUAUUGCAGUGAAAGAAUAAUAUAUAGAUCCAGGAAAGACAACCAAGUAUUACCAAUAGUUUCAACACAAGAUACAUGGCUGGUGAACAAAUGUACAUGUCCAAGACGUCUGUCUAUGCAUUAGUUUUUUCCUCUUGAUUUCAUCAGUUUCUUGAUUAUCGGAUUUUGAUUUCUUGAAUAUUCAAAUCAUCUCUAACAUUCAAAGGUAGGCACAACGCAAUGAUGUUUGGUUGUCUGACAAUUUUGUUCAUUUUCCAAAUUGAAGAAGGAUGCUAACUUCAUGAUUAUAAGGUGAUUCAGUCACUUGAUAUAAGUAUAUGCGAAUUAAUUAAUUUAACUGCGCUUAUCUCACACUGAUGCUUCCCUUUCUAAAAGAUAGUGAGUCCAGAGUCAUUCAUGCCAAGAUAUAUUUUUGGUUACACUGACCUAACUGUAUUGACCGUAUAUACUGCAGGUAUACAAAAUUGAUUAGGUGGCGACCCGAUGUCCCCUAUUAACUGUUGUACCUACUACUAAAUUAACCAUUCACGGCAACACGAUGAUGUGUUUGAUCUUUGAUUGUUUCUUCGCUCUGAAACCGUGGUUAGGCUUGUCCCCUGUUAAGUGUGUGGUUGUACCUUCUUCUAAAUUAAUCGUGGACUUUCAUUCGCUCUAUUAUAUUCUCCAAAUGAAAACGAAUAGAUAAAGUCCAAAUGGUCGUAGAACUCUGGGAUAAACCUUAAUUGGGUCAUAUGUGAAUUUGGCCACCAGUCAUUUAGUUAGUUUUCUGCAUUUGCUUGGAUUAUGAUAAGUUUAGCUCAGAAGUGUGGCCACUUCCCCAUUUGUUUAUUUGAUUGAAUAACUUGUAUCUGAUUUUUUUAAUAAGAUUGUACUGCUCUUGAUUAUUUUCUUUGUGUUUUUGAUUGAGACAGGCGAGGGGAACCAACACUAUUUAGCUUAUAGGAUGUCUGUUUCAAAUGCCUCUAUGCGGCCUUAGCGACAGUGGCUUGUACAUGAAUAGGAUGUUGAGGACUCCUGCUAGAGAGCUCAUUGACGACUGCAACAAGUAGUCCCAUGGGAAAAUUAAGCUCCUUCUUUUAGUGAUGUUAGCGGUUGUUCGACGUAUUUUAUCUCAUUGCAGCCGGCUAGGCAACUGCAUUUUUCACUCCAGUUAAUCACAUAUGUCUGUAUUUGUGUAGGUUUCACUAGAUUUAAAUUUCAGUUUUGUCUGCGCUGAGCUGUAGGUUGUUUGAUUAUUGUAUCAAGUGGAAACGAACUUCUCAUGGAUCUCCUGAAAUUUUGCUAGACAAUGGUUAAUCUACUAUACACUUCAAAUAUAGUCAUGGAUAUCUGAACUAGAAAGUGCACUGUAGUUUAUUAUAUGCUGAAUAUCAUGCACAAUCCUCUGCACUUUGAAUAUUUGGAUAAGAAGUAGGAUGUUCUUCCCUUGCUUGCCACUUCUGUUGCAUCCUUUUGGCAACCUUGCAGCCAAGUCGCUCUGCAGCUCUACAGGCUACAGGUACUGCAUUCUCAACCUUGUCAUUCAGUUUGCACAUGUGUGCAACUUUGAACGAUUAGUAAGAUGGACCAAUAAGAAAGUGAGCUACAAGGUAGAUGUCACUUUGUAGCAGAUGAACACAUACAUUUGAAUAGGUUUGUGUACAAGGACUACUUUAUACUCUGGUUGGUCUGAUUGCUGCUCUGGACAUGAACCUCCUUUUUGCUUGAGUUUCAAAUCUAAUGGGAAGAGAAACUAGCAAUGUAUAGCUGAAUUAAAGUAUGGAGAACCCCGUUUAGCUUGAGGUAAUAAAUAAGCUGCCGUAUUUGAUAAAUUUGCUUGCUUUGUCGUCUUACUUCCUAUAGGUGUUAAAUAGGGUUUUCUUAAGAUGUGAUUUUAGGAAAUAGUUUGUACGCACAUGUUUUGCUUUCCCUGUUAUCAUCUUGCUUUCCCUGCUGCUCACUUUCUUUUUAAAUAGUGUCAUUGUCUUUGCUUCAUCAGCAUAGAUGCUAGCUAACUUAUUAUGAGUUGCUACUACAGCAGAACUAAAUUAGUCCUUUUUUCAUGUUCUCUUAGGUUAUGCAGGUACUGAAGGAGCAAAACUUGUAUUUUUAAAGGUUAUGUGUGGACACAUGUAUUUUGUGUGUGGGUAGUGCUGUUUUAAUUUACAUGGCCAACACGUAUAGUUCUUUGGUUGAUGGCUUCAGGUUCUAGAUGCUUAAUUAGCUUGGUAUUUCCAUUAGUUAAUCCUGUUGUCGAUUAAUUUUUACAGGCCUUGCCUUCAGCUUUGUGGGUGCUGUAGUUUUGCCUAAUCUAUUGACUCUCACCGAUCAUCAGGUAGGGGUGUAUUGUCCCUCUCGUGUCUUGUCAUAUGUGUGUAUUCCUGUCUAAUACUGCCUUUUGGCAUUUUCUUAUUUUGUGUGUGUUAGUCUUGUACUUGCUGGGCCUCUGUUCUAUAUUAGCCUGCUUGUGUGGUUUCUUAUGUGUUUCUUGUUAACGUGCUAUGCUAUCUAUUUUCCAUGCUUGGUAAACUAUGUCUUGUGUAGUUUAUUCUUGCUCUAUUGGUAUAUAUUGAUUAAGCCUGCUGAUAAGAUGUCGUUUAAUGCUUUGUCCGAGCUUCGCCCGGGCAACUCGCUUCGCCGCGUUCGCGUGCAUGUGUCAUGCCUGUGGCACCACCACGAUGGAACUGAAAAUUGUCCGAUUAAGCAUAUGGACUUGGUUAUACUCGACUCUCAGAACCAUCGAAUUCAAGUCAUCGUUGAGUACACGACAGCUUCUGAAGUUCGUGCCAUCAUGCUUUAGUUUCCCACAUGGGCUGAGAUGAUCCAAAUAAAAAGACGGUCUCAGGCACAAGAGCAUGAUGUGCUUGCGCCAUUUGCUUUCACACCAAGGCCACGCGGUUGAUCAUCUAAGUGCACCUAUGAAGUUGAUCGACAAGGCAAUUGGACGGAGCUACUAAUUAGUAUGCCUAAUAGCUAUGGCUUAGUAGUUUGACCGCCUCUACUGUCAUUAUGCCUGGCUUUUGCUUUCUUAUUAUGUUCCUGCUAUUAGUACUUCCUCUCUCGUGUUUGUGCUCUUAGUAUUGAACUUAAUGUCGUAGUUAUUAGCUUUCUUGGUCUAAUGAACUCACUGAGUGUUUAUAAUCUCAUGAGGAUGUUGAACUUGAUAAUAUCUUGCUUUGUUGUCUUGUUGAAUACGUGUGUUAAACUA